CUACGGGAGGCUCCAGUGGGGAAUUUUGGACAAUGGAGGAAACUCUGAUCCAGGGAUACCGCGUGGGUGAUGAAGAUUUACGGAUUGUAAAGCCCUUUUAGUAGGGAAAAUAAUGAUGGUACCUACAGAAAAAGCAUCAGCUAACUCUGUGCCAGCAGCUGCGGUAAUACAGAGGAUGCGAGUGUUAUUCGGAAUCACUGGGCGUAAAGGGCGCGUAGGCGGUUAUUUAAGUCCGGAAUGAAAUACCGGGGCUCAACUUCGGUGCUGUUGUGGAUACUGUUUAACUAGAGAACGGAAGAGGUGAAUAGAAUUCCUGGUGGAGAGGUGAAAUUCUUAGAUAUCAGGAGGAAUGCCAGAGGCGAAAGCGGUUCACUGGGACGUUUCUGACGCUGAGGCGCGAAAGCGUGGGGAUCAAACAGGAUUAGAUACCCUGGUAGUC
rnacentral:rRNA from 1 species